GGUUCCAUAGCGUAGGGGUUAGCAUGUCUGCUUUACACGCAGAAGGUCCUGGGUUUGCACCCCAGCAGAGCCA
rfam:Pteropus alecto contig78854, whole genome shotgun sequence.